AGUGAACGCUGGCGGUAGGCCUAACACAUGCAAGUCGAACGGCAGCACAGUAAGAGCUUGCUCUUACGGGUGGCGAGUGGCGGACGGGUGAGGAAUACAUCGGAAUCUACUUUUUCGUGGGGGAUAACGUAGGGAAACUUACGCUAAUACCGCAUACGACCUACGGGUGAAAGCAGGGGAUCUUCGGACCUUGCGCGAUUGAAUGAGCCGAUGUCGGAUUAGCUAGUUGGCGGGGUAAAGGCCCACCAAGGCGACGAUCCGUAGCUGGUCUGAGAGGAUGAUCAGCCACACGGGAACUGAGACACGGUCCAGACUCCUACGGUAGGCAGCAGUGGGGAAUAUUGGACAAUGGGGGAAAGCCUGAUCCAGCCAUACCGCGUGGGUGAAGAAGGCCUUCGGGUUGUAAAGCCCUGUUGUUGGGAAAGAAAAGCAGCAGGUUAAUACCCCGCUGUUCUGACGGUACCCAAAGAAUAAGCACCGGCUAACUUCGUG
rnacentral:rRNA from 1 species